rnacentral:lncRNA from 1 species
CACAAGUAUGCAAACAGUAUAGGGACUUUUUAAACUCUGAGGACUAAACAGAAAUUAAGAGAACAUCACCAGCAGACCAUAACACAAAAUUAGAAGUCAAUCUAAAGAUCCAGUCAAAACUCCCGGUAAUUUAUGGGUUGAAUACU